rnacentral:rRNA from 1 species
UAUGUGUGUUAGUGGAAGCGUCUGGAAAGGCGCGCGAUACAGGGUGACAGCCCCGUACACAAAAAUGCACAUGCUGUGAGCUCGAUGAGUAGGGCGGGACACGUGGUAUCCUGUCUGAAUAUGGGGGGACCAUCCUCCAAGGCUAAAUACUCCUGACUGACCGAUAGUGAACCAGUACCGUGAGGGAAAGGCGAAAAGAACCCCGGCGAGGGGAGUGAAAAAGAACCUGAAACCGUGUACGUACAAGCAGUGGGAGCUCGCUUAGGCGUGUGACUGCGUACCUUUUGUAUAAUGGGUCAGCGACUUAUAUUCUGUAGCAAGGUUAACCGAAUAGGGGAGCCGAAGGGAAACCGAGUCUUAACUGGGCGUUAAGUUGCAGGGUAUAGACCCGAAACCCGGUGAUCUAGCCAUGGGCAGGUUGAAGGUUGGGUAACACUAACUGGAGGACCGAACCGACUAAUGUUGAAAAAUUAGCGGAUGACUUGUGGCUGGGGGUGAAAGGCCAAUCAAACCGGGAGAUAGCUGGUUCUCCCCGAAAGCUAUUUAGGUAGC